rnacentral:rRNA from 1 species
AGAGCGAACGCUGGCGGCAGGCCUAACACAUGCAAGUCGAACGGACUCUUCGGAGUUAGUGGCGGACGGGUGAGUAACACGUGGGAACGUGCCUUUAGGUUCGGAAUAGCUCCUGGAAACGGGUGGUAAUACCGAAUGUGCCCUUCGGGGGAAAGAUUUAUCGCCUUUAGAGCGGCCCGCGUCUGAUUAGCUUGUUGGUGAGGUAAUGGCUCACCAAGGCUACGAUCAGUAGCUGGUCUGAGAGGAUGACCAGCCACAUUGGGACUGAGACACGGCCCAAACUCCUACGGGAGGCAGCAGUGGGGAAUCUUGCGCAAUGGGCGAAAGCCUGACGCAGCCAUGCCGCGUGUAUGAUGAAGGUCUUAGGAUUAGUAAAAUACUUUCACCGGUUGAAGUAUAAUGACUGUAAGCCGGAAGAAAGAACGGCCCCGGACUAAACCUUCGUACGCCGAAGCAGCCCGAC